rnacentral:lncRNA from 1 species
CAUGCUAUUCUUCCUUCGUCUCGAUGACGUUUGAAGACGCUCUAGGUGGCCUGCUGAUCCUAAAGCAACCUUACGUGCGCCUGCCCCGAUAGGAUCCUUCCCGUGCGAGCGUUCGAAGGUCUACCGUCAGCUUACCCGACAACCGAUCAAACCGGUCCCUGUAACCGGUCAGACCGGCCUGCACCGAGAUGCUGUAGCGAGCCCCUUCACGCGCCGCACGGUCGUGUGCGUUCGUGUGUUGGCCCAAAAUAACGUCAACAACCACGAAACGUUACCCGUUUCAGAACCUGACGCACGAAUCGUAAAGGGAUCUCGGCCACACAAAACUGAGUGAAAACAAUACGGGUAAUCACCCGAGAGACGGUUAGAAAUUCUGUUUUAGAGUGCACUGCCGUUGGCUUGGCCGGUUGGCCCG